rnacentral:rRNA from 1 species
GAUGAACGCUGGCGGCGUGCCUAAUACAUGCAAGUCGAGCGAACGGACGAGAAGCUUGCUUCUCUGAUGUUAGCGGCGGACGGGUGAGUAACACGUGGAUAACCUACCUAUAAGACUGGGAUAACUUCGGGAAACCGGAGCUAAUACCGGAUAAUAUUUUGAGCCGCAUGGUUCAAAAGUAAAAGACGGUCUUGCUGUCACUUAUAGAUGGAUCCGCGCUGCAUUAGCUAGUUGGUAAGGUAACGGCUUACCAAGGCAACGAUGCAUAGCCGACCUGAGAGGGCGAUCGGCCACACUGGAACUGAGACACGGUCCAGACUCCUACGGGAGGCAGCAGUAGGGAAUCUUCCGCAAUGGGCGAAAGCCUGACGGAGCAACGCCGCGUGAGUGAUGAAGGUCUUCGGAUCGUAAAACUCUGUUAUUAGGGAAGAACAUAUGUGUAAGUAACUGUGCACAUCUUGACGGUACCUAAUCAGAAAGCCACGGCUAACUACGUG